rnacentral:rRNA from 1 species
UACGUAGGACCCCAAGCGUUAUCCGGAGUGACUGGGCGUAAAGAGUUGCGUAGGCGGCUUAGUAAGUGGAUAGUGAAACCUGGUGGCUCAACCAUUCAGACUAUUAUCCAAACUGCUAAGCUCGAGAAUGGUAGAGGUAGCUGGAAUUUCCUGUGUAGGAGUGAAAUCCGUAGAUAUAGGAAGGAACACCAAUGGCGUAGGCAGGCUACUGGACCAUUUCUGACGCUAAGGCACGAAAGCGUGGGGAGCGAACCGGAUUAGAAA